GGAUUCACAACGGAUAUGGGGUAGGAAGGUAUUUGGAACGUUCUUCAAUGAGUAGAUCUCUUGUGAGGAUUAAAGGCUACCGAUCGAGGAGUGUGUGAAAAGCUUGGAUCAUCGGAGUGACUAAAUCUAGUCAUCAACUUCGGCAAAG